UACAGAGGUCCCAAGCGUUGUUCGGGUUCACUGGGCGUAAAGGGUGCGUAGGUGGUGAGGUAAGUCGGAUGUGAAAGCUCGGAGCUCAACUCCGAAAUGGCAUUGGAAACUACCUUGCUCGAGGGUUGGAGGGGGGACUGGAAUGCUUGGUGUAGCAGUGAAAUGCGUAGAUAUCAAGCGGAACACCAGUGGCGAAGGCGAGUCCCUGGACAACUCCUGACACUGAGGCACGAAAGCUAGGGGAGCAAACAGG
rnacentral:rRNA from 1 species